rnacentral:rRNA from 1 species
UAAUACGGAGGGGGCAAGCGUUGUUCGGAAUUAUUGGGCGUAAAGAGUAUGUAGGCGGCUAGAUAAGUCAGACGUGUAAGCCCAUGGCUCAACCAUGGAAUUGCGUUUGAAACUAUUUAGCUUGAGUGCAGGAGAGGAAAGCGGAAUUCCCAGUGUAGCGGUGAAAUGCAUUGAUAUUGGGAAGAACACCGGUGGCGAAGGCGGCUUUCUGGUCUGUUACUGACGCUGAGAUACGAAAGCCAGGGGAGCAAAGGGGAUUAGAUACCCCCGUAGUCCUGGCCGUAAACGAUGGGCACUAGGUGGAGGAGGUAUCGGUCCCUUCUCUGUCGUAGCUAACGCAUUAAGUGCCCCGCCUGGGGAGUACGGUCGCAAGGCUG